rnacentral:rRNA from 1 species
UAGCGUAUAUUAAAGUUGUUGCGGUAAAAAAGCUCGUAGUUGGAUUUCUGUUGGGGGCGACCGGUCCAUACCAUGUAUGCGCAUCUGGUUCGGCCUCGGCAUCCUCUCGAGGCUUGUGCUGCGCUUGAUUGCGUGGCAUUGGUUUCGGGACUUUUACUUUGAGGAAAUUAGAGUGUUCACGGCAGGCUAUCGCCAGAAUACAUUAGCAUGGAAUAAUAAUAUAGGAUUUCGAUUCUAUUUUGUUGGUUUCUAGAGCUGAGGUAAUGAUUAACAGGGACAGUUGGGGGCAUUCGUAUUAACGUGUC